GAGGGUAUGGCUCAGUGGCAGAGCGUGUGCUUAGCAUGCACGAGGUCCUGGGUUCAAUCCCCAGGACCUCCA
rnacentral:tRNA from 1 species